UACGUAGGUGGCAAGCGUUGUCCGGAUUUACUGGGCGUAAAGAGCGCGCAGGCGGUCGUCCAAGUCGCGUGUGAAAGCCCCCCGGCUCAACUGGGGAGGGUCACGCGAUACUGGUCGACUCGAAGGCAGGAGAGGGUAGUGGAAUUCCCGGUGUAGUGGUGAAAUGCGUAGAUAUCAGGAGGAACACCUGUGGUGUAGACAGCUUACUGGACCAUUUCUGACGCUGAGACACGAAAGCGUGGGUAGCAAACAGG
rnacentral:rRNA from 1 species